UGUGAGUUUUUUUUUAGAGAGAGAAACUAGAGAGAGGAAGAAAAAAAUUAGGUUUUCUAUGCAUUUUCCGGCGCAGAGGAAAAAGUUUGAGGUUUGUUGAACUUUUAGUCCUGUUUAGUCUCGACGCUUUGCUUCUCGGAUUUCGUUUUUGGUCCUCCUGUAGUUUUCUGAAAAUUCGUAUUACAUGAGUUGUGGUUCUGAUUGAUGGAUGAGAUUUGGGAAAGAGCGGUGGAGACGGCGUUAGAUGGCGAGAGAAACUUUGGUUCUGUUAGAACCCUAACGUUGGACGGAGCGGUGAAGUGUAUUCAUGGUAAGUUGGCUCCCCCGUCGAUUUUCGAAAGGUUUCAGAAUUUAGAGCACCUGUCAAUUGCAAAUACUGGUGUUACAUCGCUUGAACAGUUUCCUCGGCUUCGGAAUCUUCAGAAGUUGAAUUUAUCGGACAAUAGAAUCGCUGGAGGCCUUGAGUUCCUUGUAGAAGCUGGUUUAAAUUCUCUUAGGGACCUUGAUUUGUCUAAUAACAGGAUUCAGGAUAUCGAUGAUCUUCAGCCUUUGGCUGAACUCAGGCUUGUGUCGCUUGAUCUAUAUGAGUGUCCCGUGACGAGGGUUAAGGAUUAUCGAUCUAGGGUUUUUGGUUUGAUUAGGUCGUUGAAGUAUUUAGAUAAGAUGGAUGCAGAGGGUACUGAGAGGCCUGAAUCGGAUGAUGAGGAGGAAGAAGAAGAGGAGGAUGAAGAGGAUGAUCCAGGGAGCGGGGAAGUUGAUGGAGAGGAACAUCCAUUUAGGCUGAACAAUGGACAUACGGUUGAGAGUGAAGGUGUGGUAGAUGUGGAUGAGGAAGAGAGUGAUGCUGAUGAGGAGGAGACAGAGAUAACUAGAGUGAUUAAUGGGUCUAAAGGGGAUGGUUCCAGUCACUCAAAUGGCUUUAGAGUAGAGGCAGCUUCUGAUGGAGAGGAUGAUGAUGAUGAUGAGGAUGAUGAAGAUGAGGAUUUUGUGGAGGAGAUAGAUGAAGAGGGAGAUGAAGAUGAUGUUGUUGAGGUUCAUGAGAUAGAAGACAGUGAUGAGGAUGAAGAUGGUGUGGAGGAGGACGACGAUGACGACGAUGAUGAUGAUGACGACGAUGAGGAUGAAGAGGAAGUUGAUAAUGAUGAUGGGGAUUUUGCAGAGCCUGCAAGUACGGGGAGGUUGAAUAGCACAGAAGGGGAAAUUGAUGGGCAUGAGCAUGGAGAAGAUGAUGCAGACGAGGAUGAUGAUGGGGAGACAGGAGAGGAGGAGCUAGGUGUCGAGGAGGAUGGUGAUUUCGAAGAUGAUGAGGAUGCUGAAGAUGAGGAAGAAGAUAAUGGCAAUGGCUACCUUGUUCAACCAGUUGGCCAUGUUGUAGUAGAUGAUGCUGAAGGCAGUGAUGUGGAGGCCGUCAAUGGGGAUGAAGAUGAUGCUGAGUUGGAGGAAGAUGUUGAAGAUGAAGAGGAUGAUUUUGGUGAAGUUCAGGAGCAGCCACCAUCGUCCACUCAGAAGAGGAAGAGAGAUGAUGAGGAUGAUGAUGGUGGGGAUGAUGAUGAUGAUGAUGAUGAUGAUGAAGAGUAUUCAAAGUCAUCGAAGCACCGUUAGCAACAGAAUCUGUGGUGGGUUUGAUUUAAAGAGAUGAUGCACUUGAUAAAUAGAUUUGUUUUUUCAGACUGGUGGUAUCUUUUUCUUGGAUAGCAAGUAACACUUGUUUUGGUGGGAAAUUCAGGUGUAGGAUGAUGAUGGGAGAUAUACAAAUGUUCAAAAGGUGGUUAGUAAAUAUUGGCGCUCUUGGUUUGGCUGCAGUAGCCGUUACCUAAUUAUUCAAAAGAGUGAAGAGGGAAGAAAACCAAUCGGAGUUUGGAGGGGAAUUUGAAUUGAUGGGGGAAAAAAGCGAAUGGCAAAUCUUUGGCUAGUUCUACAAUAGUAGUAGGUGGUGCCAGAUGUCAGCUAUUUGUGUCUCAAUUGAUUGCCUUGGUCUACAACCAUGUGAACGAUGACAUGAUAUGAUAACCCACCGGCUCAGAAUAUAUCUAUCUAUUUAGUAAAGAAAAAAAGCAAUGGUCCCAAUCCAACAAAAAAGGAAAAAAAAUUCCCUUUGCUUAUUUUGUGCUAAAAUAUAUUUAUUACCCACUUGCAUAGAGAUGGGAUUGGUGCACUCAAGAGUUGGUAUCGUCGUGGUAAAGAGUAUUAAUGGGCUUGCUGGUGGAAGCCCAUAAGUUUGGAGGGAAGAGGUCCUGCAAUGAAAGUUGAUUAUGGAGAGAGCAGGCCAACUUGGGCCGUGGGUAUAAAUAGCAGGCUUCGAUGUGGGUUUUUCGUCCAAAUUGUGAUCCAAGAUGUCAGUUCGCGUGAGCUUCACAAGCCGCAAUAGCUUUGCCGGUUGCGAAUUGCGGCCUAAUGGGAUUCCACUUUGUUUAACUGUUCAUACAAUUUUUAAAGCAAAAUUUUACAAAAGAGAUGUAGCGCGUGUGCGCUUGGAUUUGUAUUAAAUUUCUUAAAUUUACAACUAUUCAAUUCAAAUAUUGUACAAUACAAA